ACAUAUUCGAGUAUAGAGACUUGCUCAGUUCUUAAACUACAAGUUUAUGAUUUUAUUUUGAAAAGUCAUACGCAUUGUUUGGGCAACAAUUUAUCACCGACACAGAGAGGCAGUCGACGGCGGUAGUUGGAGACGCAGACUCAGAUACGACAUCGACAUCGACAUCGACAUCGGACUGGAACGGAGGCUCUGACUUCACCAAAUAUGGCAGAGAGCGAGCUGCACGAAAAGCCGCCACAUCAAUCACGGGCCUGACAAGCCACCUAAAUACAAUAUAAAUAUAUUGUGUAUGGGGCAUUGUAUACUGUAUAUAUAUAUAGUGUACGAGUAUAUUGUGUGUGAGGCCAGCGUCGGAGCCAGAGUCGUUAUAAUCUCGGAUAGAGCAAAUAUUUCAGAGAGCGGCACUGCACUGCCGCUGCCGCUGUCGCUGUCACUUCCUCCGGCAGGCGGCAGGCGGCAGGGUCUGGACGGACGGACGGACGGAUGGACGGAUGGACGGGUCUGUGGGAACGCUCGGACCCCCUGAUUAAUGAAGCGUUUUGUUCAACAUUUUAUGCAUAAAUUGAGGCACGUACAAUAAAUUACGCAAAAUCAUAAAUUGUAAA